rnacentral:rRNA from 1 species
GCGGACGGGUGAGUAUGUAUGGGGAUCUGCCUGAUGAGGGGGGAUACUACUGGAAACGUGUAGCUAAUACGGCAUAUGUCGCAAGACAAAGAGGGGAACUUCGGGCCCUCUUACCAUCAGAUGAACCAUAUGGGAUUAGCUUGUAGGUGAGGUAAUGGCUCACCUAGGCGACGAUCUCUAGCUGGUCUGAGAGGAUGUCCAGUCACACUGGAACUGAGACACGGUCCAGACUCCUACGGGAGGCAGCAGUGGGGAAUAUUGCACAAUGGGGGAAACCCUGAUGCAGCCAUGCCGCGUGUGUGAAGAAGGCCUUAGGGUUGUAAAGCACUUUCAGUCGGGAGGAAGGUGGAGUAAUUAAUACUUGCUCCAAUUGACGUUACCGACAGAAGAAGCACCGGCUAACUCCGUGCCAGCAGCCGCGGUAAUACGGAGGGUGCAAACGUUAAUCGGAAUUACUGGGCGUAAAGCGCACGCAGGCGGUUGAUUAAGUUAGAUGUGAAAUCCCCGGGCUUAACCUGGGAACUGCAUUUAAAACUGGUCAGCUAGAGUCUCGUAGAGGGGGGUAGAAUUCCACGUGUAGCGGUGAAAUGCGUAGAGAUGUGGAGGAAUACCGGUGGCGAAGGCGGCCCCCUGGACGAAGACUGACGCUCAGGUGCGAAAGCGUGGGGAGCAAACAAGAUUAGAUACCCUGGUAGUCCACGCUGUAAACGAUGUCAACUUGGAGUUUGCGGCCUUGAGCUGUG